rnacentral:rRNA from 1 species
CAGUAGCCACGGUGAUACGAAGGGUGCAAGCGUUAAUCGGAACUACUGGGCGUAAAGCGUGCGUAGGCGGUGAGUUAAGUCUGCUGUGAAAUCCCCGGGCUCAACCUGGGAAUGGCAGUGGAUACUGGCUCGCUAGAGUGUGUCAGAGGAUGGUGGAAUUCCCGGUGUAGCGGUGAAAUGCGUAGAGAUCGGGAGGAACAUCAGUGGCGAAGGCGGCCAUCUGGGACAACACUGACGCUGAGGCACGAAAGCGUGGGGAGCAAACAGGAUUAGAUACCCCCGUAGUCCCUGUCUCUUAUAA